UGGUUCUACGACUGGCGGCCACUGGCUACACGGCAACCGUAAGCAUUCAAUAUGACCGAGAGAGAUGGACAUCGAAGGUCUCUCAAAAAGUCAAUGGAGUACAGAAAAAAAAUCUACAGCACCGAAUUGAUAAUACUUAACAGCUCGUGAAAAGCCUAUAACAGGUGCUCUGUGGCUACACAAAGUUUAGUAUAAUGUUGCAUAUCAAGCGCUACGAUGUACGGAUGUGACAUAUUAUACGAGUAUACACAAUAUAGCAUAAUCAUAUAAGCAGUUAAACAAUUUCAUAAUAUGUAGUGCUACGAUAUUAAGAUAAGCAUAGAGCAAAAGUAAGUUGCAUCCAAAGAGGCUUUUUUGGCACCAAAGCUCAAAGGUGCGGAAACUCGUGCCUUUUUCAGUGGCGCUAAUCUAUAUUAUUCCUACAAUUCAGCAAUGCACGUUUUCUUAAUUGAAUCCAAUGAAUCGUACACACGCAAAAUGAUUUGAGCAGAUGAGUUUACAGACUGAUUACCGAAGCGGAUGCGAAGUUGGUGCACGUUCGGAUUAUUGGAUCAGCGCGAGCUUAGUAGUAGCGACAAAAACGCAUGCUCGUGAUUACUCUCUUUCUCUCCCUGUCUCUUCCGCUAUCUCGAGUGAAUGCAAUACAUACGUUGCUUACGUUCCUUACUUUAUUUCCAUGAACAAAAGACGGUUAUUAUGAUUUUUCUAACCAACAACGAACAUCUCGUUAUCAACAAUAAACAUCCGUUUACCUGUUUCGAUCCUACGAUGGCUGUUGAAUUUUGGAGACUUGUGGUGGGUCAAGAGAUGGAGGAGGUGGUGAGUUUUGUAUAGAUUAUCGUAAGAGUUAUAUUUUUAACGCGUUUUUUGUAUUUACUUAGGAGUCAAGCGAGUUCGAAGACGACGGCUACAAUUCUGAUGGGGAAGAAGUUGUUGGGGCCGCUGAAGAAUUUGUGGAAUAUCCAUGUCAUGGAAUUUCUGGAUCAAGCAUUUAUAUUAAUGGGUUGUGUUUUAUUUUGUCUAUAGCCCCCGACAUCUCCCGCUUAUGUGAAAGUUUGUUGAACUCCACAUAGUGUUUCUGUAAGUGAUUUUUUCUUGUGUUAUUUAUUUGUUUCUAUUUUUUGAUUUCUUUUUAAUCGUUUAAAAUUUUUUUUAUAUAGCUGUCUUAUAGCUUCGCUAUCGUAUAAUAUGUCCGGAAUUCUACAAUACCAUGGAUUCUGCUGCUCUGAUUCGUAUAGUAGGACAGGAGGUUUUUUCUUUCGAUGAAAUGUAAAAUUAAGUUUAAAGAUUUUCCUUUUUUCUUUCUAGGAGUGGAUUGAAGCCUUUAACUCACGACUCCUAUUCGAUUAAUGACAUCGGAAAAUUUUCUUUUUUAAUUUUUAAUCGUUUUGUUUUUUUUUUAAAUGUUUUUGCUUGGGUUGUGCCUGAAUCACUGCUGACGCCUAUUAAGGAAUUUGCUGGUAAAUACUUCCCUUGGAAAAGGGAUAGGGAGCCUCCUAUUCAAACUUCUUCGGCAGCCCCACCAGCAUCUAUACGGACAAACAGACCGGUAUCGUCGCCUACUUAGAGAUUGACAACCGCAAGUGUACGAUGACUUAGGGCUCGGUUUGUUUCCCUACUGUUAACAAAGCCGCUGAGUAUCUGGCCACCACUGCGUCGAAACACUCCUUGUCGAGAAACUUUCCCAUCGAGUAGGUCGAGAGCGUUAUCGAGCCCAAUCUCGACUACCCUGACUCGCCUACUAACUACAAAUACGUGUUCAUCGGUGCGGUUUCAUAAUUUUCUCGAGUUUUCGUGCAAAUUACUCGCAUUAUCAAUACCGCUGAUUAUACGUACGACCUGUAGUUAGCGCGCGCUUUGUAAAAGAUUUAGCAUACAUCGAAUUUAAUUUGCUUUCAUUAUAUACUGCAGAGAUUUAAUGAACGGUGAAAAAUUUCGAACAAUGUGCCAUACUAUGUGUCUAUGAACUGCGCAUUUGAAUUUGCAUACAAGACACUUCUUACUCCGAUCUCUCGCUGACGCACUUUUUGCCGCCAUUGUAAUAACUCGUGCGCUGUCGAUUCUUCCCAGAACUGCCAAGUGGUUAUUCGUGAGCCGUACCGCGACGGUCGCAAAAACAGCUGGACGGGUCUGGGCUUUAUGAGCGCGAUCAAGGACUCGGUGCUGAACUUCACGGUAGACGGUGUGCGCCGAUCCAUGUGGUACGACAUCGUUGUUCGCUACGAGCCCAAGUACUCCGGUACCUGGGACGAUGCCGAGAUCAUUAUCAAGCGCGAUGGUCUACCCGCCAGCGAAGGACCUUGUAGUAAAUGGCAACCCGAGGAAGAUCGACUCUAGGUACAACUGCCUACCAACCAGAGAAGCUCCGUUGCUUCGUCGCCAGUUUGUCUGGAAGCUGGAAAGGUCUACACUGUCAUAUUACAACUAAGGAAGUUCGCUUGACAGCUUGAUACACCCACUGCCUCGAUCCUUAUUGAUUCGAUCGUUCUGAGCCUAAGGCUGGAGAAUAUACCGUUAUUCACCGUCGGCCCUGGCGAGAUUCGCCUUCAGAAGUACGAGAGAUUUCGGCGUCAACAUCCCCUGCAGAUCCUGUCUUUGUCCCGGAACCUUAAAGAGCGGCCACGCCUAUGCAGACAGCUGCUCCUUCGACACCUUUAGCCACGAUGUCAUCUGCUAGUGCUACCAGGGCUACGCCGGUCUGUGGUGCGACACUUGCACUGAUAAUUUCUACGGCAAUCCCGAAACUCCCGGCGGCAAGUGCCAGCCCUGCGAGUAUAGCGACAACACCGAUCUUAACCGACCAGGCAACUGCGACGCACAGACCGGCAAGUGCCUGCAGUGCCUUUGGAACACCGACGGUUCCAACUGCCAGGUCUGCAAAGCCGAUUUCUACGGUGACGCUCUGCAGCAGAACUGCCAGUCCUGUCAGUGCAACAUCCGCAGGCGAGUGACGAGACUGUGUCGUCCAAGCCCGCGGAAGCUCCGCAUCAACCGCCGCCGGCUGUGGUGGUCAAGACCGAGCGCGCAGACGACCCCGACAAGAAGAGCCUCGAGGUGACGAAAGUCGUAAAGUUGCCUAUCUCGUCCGCGAUCGAGACCGAGCCUGACAACCAGGCAGCCGAGGCCAGCGAAAUGGAGGUCAAACCCGACCCCGAAAGUCUCUACGCUGGCCUCGUCGACGAUUCCAAAAUCACCACCACCACUGUCCUGCCACUGCCAUCGCUGCCACUUCCGAGGACAGCGCUGCUACGGCUGCUUUGGACUUUGAGAAAGAGGGCAAGGAGAAGCUGAGAGCCCGGCUGAUGGAGGAGAAGCUGGUGGUGCCGGAGAAGAAGAAGACGAAGACGCCUACGAGCAGCUGUCUGUUUUUUUUAAUUUUAAAACAAUAUUGUUUGUUGAUAAGAUGCGCGCCGAAAAUCCUGUCUAACUGUU